GUGUCAGCCGCCGCGGUAAUACGUAGGUGGCAAGCGUUGUCCGGAAUUAUUGGGCGUAAAGGGCGCGUAGGCGGCGUCUUAAGUCAGAUGUGAAAACCCGAGGCUCAACUUCGGGCAUGCAUUUGAAACUGAGAUGCUCGAGUGCAGGAGAGGAAAGUGGAAUUCCUAGUGUAGCGGUGAAAUGCGUAGAGAUUAGGAGGAACACCAGUGGCGAAGGCGACUUUCUGGACUGUAACUGACGCUGAGGCGCGAAAGCGUGGGGAGCAAACAGGAUUAGAAACCCGGGUAGUCC
rnacentral:rRNA from 1 species